GUUUUCCGUAAUUUUCAGCAGUUUGUGUCAAUUAGACCCAUUUCUAAUUAUCCUACAUCAUUUCGCAAAAAAAAUAGGAAUUCAGAAUGUGGAUGGAGAUGACGAAUUCCGUUCGCCGGAUCUGAGUCCCAACAAGUCGUUGAACAGGAGAUCAUAAGGACGCAAAGUAUACAAGAAAGCAGCAGUUCAUCCUCCACAUUCCAACAAAAUGCCAACUGAUGAAGACUGGCCCUCAGUUUUGCCAGUUGCCAGGUCUUUCCAUCCAGCUAGUGUCCUGCUGCCCUUGCAUCAGGGCCGGGUUGUUCCGGGGCAACACCACCCGAGUUCUGCACAGAGUGCCGUAAGAGUUGGAUAUCAACGAAAAGAUUGACAAUCAUUUACCCAUCACAAUCACAACUGGUGAUUACCUCAAUUCUUUCCCCUCAUUGAGUGAUGCCCGAGCCAGAAUUAUAACACUCCAGGCGAAAUUGAGCUCUUUGA